UACGUAGGGUGCAAGCGUUGUCCGGAAUUAUUGGGCGUAAAGAGCUCGUAGGCGGUUUGUUGCGUCGGCUGUGAAAACCUGCGGCUUAACGUGUGGGCUUGCAGUCGAUACGGGCAGACUUGAGUUCGGCAGGGGAGACUGGAAUUCCUGGUGUAGCGGUGAAAUGCGCAGAUAUCAGGAGGAACACCGGUGGCGAAGGCGGGUCUCUGGGCCGAUACUGACGCUGAGGAGCGAAAGCGUGGGGAGCGAACAGG
rnacentral:rRNA from 1 species